GCUUCUUUUCUUGGCGGGGGCCAGGUGUGUAGUCCCGCUCCCCCUUAUGUACGGAGGCAGAGGGAAAGGGCUCCGGCUCCCUCGGCGUCAUGUCUUCGGUGCCGGCGGCUUCUUGUCCACCGGUUCUAUCCUCAAGCGCCGAGACACCC
rnacentral:snoRNA from 1 species